GGGGCUGUAGCUCAGUGGCUGAGCACUUGCCUAGCAUGCAUGAGGCACUGGGUUCAAUCCUCAGCACCA
rnacentral:tRNA from 1 species